rnacentral:lncRNA from 1 species
GCAAUGUAAAAUUUUUAUUGAUCUCAUUAUGCCGAUUUCAUCGCUUGCAAAACACGAAGGUUCUCUCCCUACCUUCCUCUCUCUCACCCCAAUACUGCAAUCCGAAAACACGCUUACCUCUAAAUCCACAAAUUAUCAUCGAUUUUUUUAAGUCUUAAGAUCGGUUCUAAUUGAUUAAAAAAAAAAACCCAGGGCUUCCGAUCGACUAUUUAACAGGAUUCGAACAAAAAGAAAAAUAAUUAAAAUCAAUACAAAUCCCAAUAACAAGAAAAGAAAUUAUAAUAGUAAUAGUAAUUUAUAGAAAUUCUGAUAAUUUCUUGUGCAUAGAUGGCACUGCAAGAACAAUAAGAUAGGCUCAAGAGGCAGCAGCAAGCGAAGUGCAAGUCAACGCUUACAAGUGUAGCGAAAUCAAGGCCCAACGUGACUCAAAAAGCGUUUCCGGUAGCUGCAUCGCCAUCAACGAGUGCUAGGACUCCUGCUCCUGCUGUCAGAUUUUCUAAUGACACGGAGAGGCUUCAGCAUAUCAAUAGUAUUAGAAAAGCCCCCGCCGGAGCUCAAAACAAGCGUGUGGGAGACCUGCUUCUAGAGGUAACAAUUGAAUUCUUAAUCACUGUUGUUUUGAUUCCUUUCUGAAUUGUGAUGGAUACUGGGUUGGUCGCAUAGUAAAAAUAACUUGAUAAAAGGAUUAGGUGAAUUGAAGUUAAUGUGUUAUCCAAGAUGAUGAAUGAUGUUGGAGAUACAGUUGAUGGUCUUCAGUCUUUGUUCUGUCUCCCUUUGAGUGGAUUGUGUAUGGAAGUGUAAUGCAGAAAAAAGUUAAUAAGAG